CCCCAAAAAAAAGAAAGAAAAACUAAAGAAAGAAGAAAAAAGA
rnacentral:ribozyme from 18 species